GGGACUGCUGCCACACCCGCUCCUCACAUAUGAGAGCGCUGAGGCUUACGGGUGCUCUUUCACCCUUGGGAGGUGCCAUGGAGUGUGUGACACCCCCCUCCCCCAAUGCACAGCCUAGAACCCUAAUCUGAGUGAGACCAUAUUUAUAAAUCAAGCAUGUAGAAGGUGAUCAGGUCAUGAGGGUGAAGCCUCAAACAACAAGAUUAGUGAUGUCAGAAGAAGCCAGAAUGGAUGCCCUUACCCAAACCAAACUAUGCCUGCACUCUGACCCCAAACCUGUAGCUUGCAGAAGUGUGAGGAAUGAAGGGUUAUUGUUUUAGCUACCCAGUGGACAGUGACUCAGAAGGGAGGGGAACAGAGGAGGAAGACAGAGACAGAGAGAAGAAAGGUGGUGUUGUGUUUGUUCGCUGGGCUGGUGAUUGAGCCCACAGCCUCCCACAUCCUAAACAAAUGUUCGUUCACGGAGCUAAAUCGCCAGCAUGAUGUGUGUCAGUGAGAAGAGGCUCCAUCUCUGCAGGUCAAUGGAAGUCUUCUGUUAUUAUGGGCCAAGACUUAGUUAUGGGAAGAGACUGUGGGAGAGGAGGGUGCGGAGAGGAAACAGAAAGGUUUGGGGGAAGGUGGAAAGGUAUGUCCAACUUGAGCGUAUGCAUAGGACAGUUUGGGAGGUUGAUGAUGAUGAAGAUCCCUGUGGAGCUUGCCUAAUUGUAAAACUCACACUGGCCUCAAACAUGCAAUCCUCCUGCCUCAGCUUCCUGGGUGCUGGGGAUAAAACCCAGUAAGGCAAGCACUCCCGCCACAUUCCCAGCAUCCUAUGUAUGUGUGCUCUUAAUCUUUCACUCAACUAAAUCGUAGCUAAAUCAAGUUUCAAGUGGCUUUUAGAUUCUAAGACACCAUGUAGAACCUUUUAGAAAUGAAAAUUCACGGUGCUGGAGAGGCGGCUUAGUGGUUAGGAGCACACGGUGCUCUGGCAGCAAAUCUGAGGUUUGAGCGUGUCUUGGCAUCAGAGGCUGAGAGUAAGCUUCAACUGAAGAAGAAAGCCCCAGCAUCUGAGCAGAGUCGUGGCCGGGGGAAGCCCCUAUUGAGGAUGCUCGGGCUGCAGAGGCGUCCACAGGAGACCGCAAUCAUUGGCGCAAGCCCUGGAAACUCAUCAACAAUGAGAACAGGAACUUGAGCUGAAGGAUUUGUGACAACGUGGGCAGAACAGGACAGUGAGAAUUUGGGUGGACAGAUUUCAUAAGAAACUAUUAAGCAAGAGGUGUCUGAGUAAGCUGGCAACCCAGCCCCAGAAACAGAAACAGACCUGGCGACCGUCCUAGGAGGCAGGCUGGAGGCAGGGAGUCAGCUGGAUCCAAAUCGGGAACAGAGCAGGGGAGGGGAGGCGAGCAGAGCCCAGAAGACCCCACGGUCCACAUUUUGUCGUCAAGUCUUGGAGUUAACUGACCUAGUUCAUUUACACUUACUUCUGACUGGAGGCAAGGAAUAGCUUUGCUGAUGGUUGCAAGGGGGCAAGAAGAAAAUAAUUGACCAAUUACUCACCUAAGUGAGCCAAGCAGGCACUAAAAGGCAAAAUGCCAUUCAACCACUCAACAUCCAGUCUGCUGCAGGGAACAACACAAGCUGAAAGUUUUCACUGAUACCCCAGGAAAACACGGAGCCCCUGGCUUGCUCUAUUGAAAUCCUGGUUAAUGCUUUUGUGAGCGAGAAGACUGUGGGAAGCAGCCUGCAAACAGCUAUCAUGGGAAGCAGAGAUGCUCGGAGGGAGUAGCAACAUGUGGAGACUUGGGAGAUGGGGCUACCAGGUACAGAUGAAGAACCAUGGUGGAUUCGAACCUUCCCUUGUUCAUGCCUAGCUCUUCCCGGGUCUUUUCUAAGGUUCCUUUUCCUGUUAAUUCGUACCUAGUUCAAGGCAAACAGUUAAGGGUUGAGGAGGGGGAAUGCUCACUCUUUAUAGGCUUGGGGGAGCAACCUGCUCUGUGCGAUAAUUAUUUGUCUAGGGCAGAUAUUUGCAAACCUCUGCUGAGCAUCGGGACCUGAAAUAGAAGACACCUGCAGUAGCUGCCACUUCUCCACACGCCUUACACACCACAGAAUGUCACUGGCGCUCUGCACCUGAGUUUCAAUUAAUGGGCUGAAUGGAUGACCUUUG
rnacentral:lncRNA from 1 species